rnacentral:rRNA from 1 species
AGAGUUUGAUCCUGGCUCAGGAUGAACGCUAGCGGCAGGCUUAAUACAUGCAAGUCGAGGGGCAGCAUGGUGUAGCAAUACACUGAUGGCGACCGGCAAACGGGUGCGGAACACGUACAGAACCUUCCUUCGAGCGGGGAAUAGCCCAGAGAAAUUUGGAUUAAUACCCCAUAGUAUAACGGAGAGGCAUCUCUUUGUUAUUAAAGAUUUAUCACUUGAAGAUGGCUGAGCGGCUGAUUAAGUAGUUGGCGGGGUAACGGCCCACCAAGCCUACGAUCAGUAACUGGUGUGAGAGCACGACCAGUCACACGGGCACUGAGACACGGGCCCGACUCCUACGGGAGGCAGCAGUAAGGAAUAUUGGUCAAUGGACGAAAGUCUGAACCAGCCAUGCCGCGUGGAGGAUGAAGGUCCUCUGGAUUGUAAACUUCUUUUAUAUGGGACGAGAAAAGGGUUUUCUAACUCGUCUGACGGUACCGACAGAAUAAGCACCGGCAAACUCUGUGCCAGCAGCCGCGGUAAUACAGAGGGUGCGAGCGUUAAUCGGAGUGACUGGGCGUAAAGGGCGCGUAGGCGGUGAGAUGAGUGUGAUGUGAAAGCCCCGGGCUUAACCUGGGAAGUGCAUCGCAAACGAUCUGACUGGAGUUUGGGAGAGGGUGGCGGAAUUUCCGGUGUAGCGGUGAAAUGCGUAGAGAUCGGAAGGAACGUCGAUGGCGAAGGCAGCCACCUGGCCCAAAACUGACGCUGAGGCGCGAAAGCGUGGGGAGCGAACAGGAUUAGAUACCCUGGUAGUCCACGCUGUAAACGAUGAGGACUAGAUGUUGGUGGGGGAACCCAUUAGUAUCGAAGCUAACGCGAUAAGUCUUCCGCCUGGGAAGUACGGCCGCAAGGUUGAAACUCAAAGAAAUUGACGGGGGCCCGCACAAGCGGUGGAGCAUGUGGUUUAAUUCGAUGCAACGCGAAGAACCUUACCUACUCUUGACAUCCUGCGAAUCCGACUGAGAGGUUGGAGUGCCGAAAGGAGCGCAGAGACAGGUGCUGCAUGGCUGUCGUCAGCUCGUGUUGUGAGAUGUUGGGUUAAGUCCCGUAACGAGCGCAACCCUUGUCCUUAGUUGCCAGCAUUUAGUUGGGGACUCUAAGGAGACUGCCGGUGAUGAACCGGAGGAAGGCGGGGACGACGUCAAGUCAUCAUGGCCUUUAUGAGUAGGGCUACACACGUGCUACAAUGGGGCGUACAGAGAGUCGCCAACCUGCGAAGGGGAGCCAAUCUCGAAAAGCGUCUCGUAGUCCGGAUUGGAGUCUGCAACUCGACUCCAUGAAGUCGGAAUCGCUAGUAAUCGCGAAUCAGCAUUGUCGCGGUGAAUACGUUCCCGGGCCUUGUACACACCGCCCGUCACGUCAUGGGAGUGGAUGGUACCAGAAGCGAGUAGCUUAACCGCAAGGGGAGCGCUUGCCACGGUAUGAUUCAUGACUGGGACGAAGUCGUAACAAGGUAACC